rnacentral:rRNA from 1 species
AUUGAACGCUGGCGGCAGGCCUAACACAUGCAAGUCGAGCGGUAGAGCGAAGCUUGCUUCUCUUGAGAGCGGCGGACGGGUGAGUAAUGCCUAGGAAUCUGCCUGGUAGUGGGGGAUAACGUUCGGAAACGGACGCUAAUACCGCAUACGUCCUACGGGAGAAAGCAGGGGACCUUCGGGCCUUGCGCUCUCAGAUGAGCCUAGGUCGGAUUAGCUAGUUGGUGGGGUAAUGGCUCACCAAGGCGACGAUCCGUAACUGGUCUGAGAGGAUGAUCAGUCACACUGGAACUGAGACACGGUCCAGACUCCUACGGGAGGCAGCAGUGGGGAAUAUUGGACAAUGGGCGAAAGCCUGAUCCAGCCAUGCCGCGUGUGUGAAGAAGGUCUUCGGAUUGUAAAGCACUUUAAGUUGUGAGGAAGGGCAGUAAAUUAAUACGUUGCUGUUUUGACGUUACCGACAGAAUAAGCACCGGCUAACUCUGUG